UAGGGAAUAUUGGUCAAUGGAGGCAACUCUGAACCAGCCAUGCCGCGUGCAGGAUGACGGCCCUCUGGGUUGUAAACUGCUUUUAUACGGGAAGAAAAAAUACUACGUGUAGUAUAUUGACGGUACCGUAAGAAUAAGGAUCGGCUAACUCCGUGCCAGCAGCCGCGGUAAUACGGAGGAUCCAAGCGUUGUCCGGAUUUAUUGGGCGUAAAGAGCUCGUAGGCGGGUAGACACGUCGGAUGUGAAAAC
rnacentral:rRNA from 1 species